CUCCACCUUCCUCCCACGUCCCAGCCCAGAUCCACCAACCCACCGCCGCACCCCCAGCCGGCCAACUACCAACACCGGUGCUUCGCCCAAUCGCCCCACCUUUGCCGGCGCGCCCUCCCUGCCCAACACCGUCUUUCUGGACGAAGAGCCCCUCCCCGCGCCGUGCCGGCUGGAUGGCCCCGACCUCCUCGUACCUUCUUCCCGACACGGGCUCGCAUCCCUGUCGCAGGCGCUCCCCUUCCUGCUGCCUUCCCCGCUCCGAGCCGCCCGAUCUAGGCCAUUGCCGGCCCGCGCAACGCCCCACCGCCAGCCACCACCCAGCCCCACUGCCCCUUCCUCCCAAUCAAUCUUGGCGGAUCCAUCCCCGUGCCACUGUGCAUUGCCCGGCGUUGGAUUGAGCCCCACCUCUGCAGCUCAUGGCGCUUCUCAUGCUGCUCAUCGGCGAGACCCCGACGUUGACCGCAACCACUGAGCUUCUCCCCUACCUAGCUCGCGGUGGCCAACACAGGUGCAGUUUGCCGCUGCUUCCUGACAUGCUUAGGUGGCCCCGGUACUGCAGUGUGGUUCCCUCCCGCGUGCUGUUCGUCGGUGGUUUCUCCACCUUGAUGCUGAUCCAGGGCGAUGCAGGUGGUUCCCCUCUCUCUGUACUCCCUCUUCCUCAUUAAAUGGCGGAUCCAAGGUUCUCCCCACUGACGAACAGGGAAAAAAGUGAGCAGGGAAAAAAGUGAGCACAGCAACAAUGGUUUUGUGGUUCAUUUUGAUUUUGAUUUUUGGAUGAAAUCUUCAGUGCACGAUGAGGGACGAAUCCGGCGCUCCGUUGCUUCGUUCCCCUCUCUGCUGCUCCGUUUCUUGAUUCCCUCCUCUGCAGUUCUGUAACGCUUGUCGUGCAGCUCAGCGACGGAAGUUUUGCAGUGCGGCUGUAAUCGCGCGGGCUGUGGCUCGCUAGUGUUGUCUUCGGUGAGCUGCUGUGAUGGGCUAGUUUCCUGUUGCAUCUCCGGUGGCUUGGAGUACCAUGGCUGGCGUGUGCGGGCCGUCCUGAUGGCGUGGGUAUGUCGUUCACUUGGAGCACCAUGGCUGGCUAUGUGCAUGCAGUCCCGAGAGCAUGGGCAUGUCAUUCACUUUAUUUUGUUUUGAAGAAAAAAUGUCAGUGCAGUGCCGUUCGAUUUAUUUGUUCAGAAAAAAGAAAAGGUUUUCUGCACUUCACUUUGAUUUUUAGGUUGAUGCGUGUGUGGUGCACUUUCGACACCGCUGCGAUUCACUUUCAAUGGUGCUGCGGUUCCUUAUGCCCGAUGUGAAGUCAAAAAAAAGUUAGGGAACGGUAAAAAAACCACAUGAGGUUCACUUU